GAAAUUGAAGAAGGGCGCAUGGUGGAUGCCUAGGCUCAAGGAGGCGAUGAAGGACGUGGGAAGCUGCGAUAAUCUGCGGUUAGGCGCAACCGGCCAUUGACCCGCAGGUCUCCGAAUGGGACAACCCGCCGCCGAAAGGCGGCAUCACGCAGUGAGCGUGAGGCGAACGCGGGGAACUGAAACAUCUUAGUACCCGCAGGAAGAGAAAACAACAGUGAUUCCCCCAGUAGUGGCGAGCGACCGGGGAACAGCCCAAACCGUCGGCGUUUCGGCGCCGUCGGGGUAGUAGGGCCGCAAUGUCGCACAAGCACCGUUAAGCGGAACGGACUGGAACGUCCGGCCAUAGCGGGUGAAAGCCCCUUACGCGCCGUCGGUGCUGGCGUAGCGGUUCCCUGAGUAGCGCGGGGCACGAGAAACCCUGUGCGAAUCCGCCGGGACCAUCCGGCAAGGCUAAAUACUCCCUUGAGACCGAUAGUGAACAAGUACCGUGAGGGAAAGGUGGGAAGCACCCCGUCGAGGGGAGUGAAACAGACCCUGAAACCAUGCGCCUACAAGCGGUCGGAGCACGCAUGUGCGUGUGACGGCGUGCCUUUUGCAUAAUGAACCUACGAGUUGCCGUCGCCGGCGAGGUUAACCGUGAAGACGCGGGGAGCCGCAGUGAGAGCGAGCCUGAAGAGGGCGCAUAGUCGGCGGUGGCAGACGCGAAACCAAGUGAUCUACACUUGGCCAGGGUGAAGUCCCGGUAACGCGGGAUGGAGGCCCGAACCGAUAAGCGUUGAAAAGCUUCCGGAUGAGCCGAGUGUAGGAGUGAAAGGCCAAUCAAACUUGGAGAUAGCUCGUACUCCCCGAAAGGCAUUUAGGUGCCGCGUGGGGUGUUCCGGGCGCGAGGUAGAGCGACCGAUAGGACGCGAGGGCUUCACCGCCUGUCAAGUCCUGACGAACUCCGAAUGCGCGUCCGCAGAAGCCCUGCAGUAAGGGGGCGGGUGCUAAGGUCCGCCCCCGAGAGGAGAAGAAUCCAGACCGCCGUCUAAGGCCCCGGAAUUCUGCCUGAGUUAGUCUAACGAAGUGUGCCCCCUGGGACAGCCAGGAUGUUGGCUUGGAAGCAGCCAUUCAUUCAAAGAGUGCGUAACAGCUCACUGGUCGAGGGGGCUCGCGUGGAUAAUAAUCGGGUAUAAGGCAGAUGCCGAAGGCGCGGGAUAUCGAAAGAACGUAUCGGUAGGGGAGCAUUCCAGGUGCGCAGAAUGCAAGGGGCGACCCUUGCUGGAGCGCCUGGAAAGGCAAAUGUAGGUAUGAGUAACGACAAGGGGGGCGCGAACCCCCCCCGCCGCAAGGCCAAGGUUUCCCGGGCGAUGCCAGUCAUCCCGGGGUAAGUCGGGCCCUAAGCCUAAGCCGAAUGGCGAUGGCGAUGGCAGACACGGUUGAUAUUCCGUGACUGCCCGUGCGGGCGAUGCGGCAACGGAGAAGUGACACCGCCGCGCGCAGACGGAACUGCGCGUUGAAGGGUGUAGGCGUCGAGGGGCGCAGUCAAGCACACGCCCCGAGCCGAACCUGAGAGUACGGCGCUCCAUUCGUGGAGGGCCGAGAGUGCGGGUAAUCCGGCUCCCAAGAAACCCCGCUAAGCUUAACCGCACGGGCACCCGUACCGCAAACGGACACACGUGGCCGGGUAGAGCAUACCAAGGCGUUGAGAGACUCAUGGUCAAGGAACUAGGCAAACCAGCCCCGUAACUUCGGGAGAAGGGGUCCUCCCCCUGUGGGAGGCGCAGCGAACAGGCCCAGGCAACUGUUUACCAAAAACACAGGGCUGUGCAAACUCGAGAGAUGAAGUAUACAGCCUGACACCUGCCCGGUGCCGGAAGGUUAAGAGGAGGCGUCACCGCAAGGGAAGCGCCGAGUUGAAGCCCCGGUAAACGGCGGCCGUAACUAUAACGGUCCUAAGGUAGCGAAAUUCCUUGUCGGGUAAGUUCCGACCUGCACGAAUGGUGUAAUGAUCCGGACGCUGUCUCAACCGUGAGCUCAGUGAAAUUGUAGUAUCGGUGAAGAUGCCGAUUACCCGCGAUGGGACGAAAAGACCCCGUGAACCUUUACUGCAGCUUAGCGCUGACCUUGGCCAUCGGAUGUGUAGGAUAGGCCGGAGGCAAUGAAGGCGCCACGCCAGUGGUGCCGGAGCCGCCGUUGAAAUACGGCCCUUCCGCUGUCCGGGGUCUAACGCGCGAUGCGCGGACACCGCUUGGCGGGCAGUUUGACUGGGGUGGUCGCCUCCAAAAGCGUAACGGAGGCUUCCAAAGGUGCCCUCAGGCCGAUUGGCAACCGGCCUAAAUGAGUGCAAUGGCAAAAGGGCGCUUGACUGGGAGGGGGACACCCCGAGCAGGCAGGAAACUGGGGCAUAGUGAUCCGGCGGUUCCGCAUGGAAGGGCCGUCGCUCAAAGGAUAAAAGGUACUCCGGGGAUAACAGGCUGAUCCCCCCCAAGAGCUCACAUCGACGGGGUGGUUUGGCACCUCGAUGUCGGCUCGUCACAUCCUGGGGCUGGAGAAGGUCCCAAGGGUUGGGCUGUUCGCCCAUUAAAGUGGCACGCGAGCUGGGUUCAGAACGUCGUGAGACAGUUCGGUCUCUAUCUAUCGUGGGCGCGGGAGCCUUGCGCGGUUCGGCCACUAGUACGAGAGGACCGUGGUUGACAGACCUCCGGUAAGCCGGUUGUGCCGCCAGGCGCACGGCCGGGUAUCCGCGUCUGGUCAGGAUAAGCGCUGAAAGCAUCUAAGCGCGAAGCCGUCCGCAAGAUUAGGGCUCCUUGAGGGCCGUCGCAGACUACGACGUUGAUAGGGCGCAGGUGUAAAGGCGGCGACGCCAAAGCCGAGCGCUACUAAUUGCCCGAACGUUUCGACCC
rnacentral:rRNA from 1 species